UGAGUAACACGUGGGUGAUCUGCCCUGCACUUCGGGAUAAGCUUGGGAAACUGGGUCUAAUACCGGAUAGGAGCCAUCUUUAGUGUGGUGGUUGGAAAGUUUUUCGGUGUAGGAUGAGCCCGCGGCCUAUCAGCUUGUUGGUGGGGUAAUGGCCUACCAAGGCGGCGACGGGUAGCCGGCCUGAGAGGGUGUACGGCCACAUUGGGACUGAGAUACGGCCCAG
rnacentral:rRNA from 1 species